rnacentral:rRNA from 1 species
GCUCAGAAUGAACGCUGGCGGCGUGCUUACACAUGCAAGUCGAACGAGAAAUCUUUAGCUUGCUAGAGAAAGUAAAGUGGCGCACGGGUGAGUAACGCGUGGGUAAUCUGCCUCCGAAUCGGGGAUAACAUUGCGAAAGCGAUGCUAAUACCGGAUAAAAUCUGGUUGGCUUCGGUGAACCGGAUCAAAGGUGGUCUCUUUAUAAAAGCUACCGUUUGGAGAUGAGCUCGCGUACCAUUAGCUAGUUGGUGAGGUAAAGGCUCACCAAGGCGACGAUGGUUAGCUGGUCUGAGAGGAUGAUCAGCCACACCGGAACUGGAACACGGUCCGGACUCCUACGGGAGGCAGCAGUGAGGAAUUUUGCGCAAUGGGGGAAACCCUGACGCAGCAACGCCGCGUGAGUGAUGAAGGCUUUCGGGUCGUAAAGCUCUGUCAGGUGGGAAGAACCCACCAAGUGUUAAGACCACUUGGUGCUGACGGUACCACCGAAGGAAGCACCGGCUAACUCCGUGCCAGCAGCCGCGGUAAUACGGGGGGUGCGAGCGUUAUUCGGAAUCAUUGGGCGUAAAGGGCGCGCAGGCGGUUUUGUAAGUCAGAUGUGAAAUCCCGGGGCUUAAACCCGGAAGUGCAUAUGAAACUAUGAGACUUGAGUAUGGGAGAGGGAAGCGGAAUUCCUGGUGUAGCGGUGAAAUGCGUAGAUAUCAGGAGGAACACCGGUGGCGAAGGCGGAUUCCUGGACCAAUACUGACGCUGAGGCGCGAAGGCGUGGGGAAGCGAACAGGAUUAGAUACCCUGGUA